AUUGAACGCUGGCGGCAUGCCUAACACAUGCAAGUCGAGCGAGCGGCGGACGGGUUAGUAAUGUAUGGGGAUCUUCCCGAUAGCGGGGUAUAACUACUGGAAACGGUGGCUAAUACCGCAUACUAUCUGAUUAACCCAGAUGGGCUUAGCUAGUAGGUGGGGUAACGGCUCACCUAGGCGACGAUCUCUAGCUGGUCUGAGAGGAUGACCAGCAACACUGGGACUGAGACACGGCCCAGACUCCUACGGGAGGCAGCAGUGGGGAAUAUUGCACAAUGGGCGCAAGCCUGAUGCAGCCAUGCCGCGUGUAUGAAGAAGGCCUUAGGGUUGUAAAGUACUUUCAGCGGGGAGGCGUUACCCGCAGAAGAAGCACCGGCUAACUCCGUGCCAGCAGCCGCGGUAAUUC
rnacentral:rRNA from 1 species